GACGAACGCUGGCGGCGUGCUUAACACAUGCAAGUCGAACGGAAAGGCCCUGCUUUUGUGGGGUGCUCGAGUGGCGAACGGGUGAGUAACACGUGAGUAACCUGCCCUUGACUUUGGGAUAACUUCAGGAAACUGGGGCUAAUACCGGAUAGGAGCACCUGCUGCAUGGUGGGGGUUGGAAAGUUUCGGCGGUUGGGGAUGGACUCGCGGCUUAUCAGCUUGUUGGUGGGGUAGUGGCUUACCAAGGCUUUGACGGGUAGCCGGCCUGAGAGGGUGACCGGCCACAUUGGGACUGAGAUACGGCCCAGACUCCUACGGGAGGCAGCAGUGGGGAAUAUUGCACAAUGGGCGGAAGCCUGAUGCAGCAACGCCGCGUGCGGGAUGACGGCCUUCGGGUUGUAAACCGCUUUCGCCUGUGACGAAGCGUGAGUGACGGUAAUGGGUAAAGAAGCACCGGCUAACCACGUG
rnacentral:rRNA from 1 species